rnacentral:rRNA from 1 species
UACGUAGGGAGCAAGCGUUGUCCGGAAUCAUUGGGCGUAAAGAGCGCGUAGGUGGCUGCAUAAGUCCGUUGUGAAAGUCAAAGGCUCAACCUUUGAAAGCCGAUGGAUACUGUGGAGCUAGAGUACGGAAGAGGCGAGUGGAAUUCCUGGUGUAGCGGUGGAAUGCGCAGGUAUCAGGAGGAACACCAAUAGCGAAGGCAGCUCGAUGGGACGUUACUGACACUGAGGCGCGGAAGCGUGGGGAGCGAACAGG